AAAUUUUGUGCUACGUCAGCCUUAGUCUCUACAGAAUAAAUGCUAAUAAUCCGGCAGCUUCCGCAGGAUCGCCGCUGCGAGCGCGUCGGUGAAAUUUCUGUCGCCGGUGAGCUCGCGGGCCAUCUGUUCCACCAACGCCCUCUGGAAUUCCGGCGACGCGACCUCUCGGCACACCUUCUUCAGGUCCGGCUGCGCCUCCCCUGCUGCCUCGACGACCUGCAGGCCUCCCCCGUCCUUGGUGAGGUCCAGCGUGAUGGUCGGGCCGGAGGAGUUGAUGGAGAUGGAGCACGGCACCGAGCCGCCGCUCGACGCUGUUGCCGGGCUUGCAGGAGCUGACGCUCCAGGUGGCCGUCUUGGCCAUCUCCUACAGCACGUCCUCCACCGUCAGCUCCGGGCAGCCCUUCAGCCUCCCCGCCGCCGGCGCCNGCUAGUCCAGGAGGGAUGUGGAUAAGAAGACCUUGACCACGGGGAGGGGUGUUUCUAUAAAAACGAAACGUUUUUUAACUAAACAAAGGACUGCGGGUUGAUUUCAACAAAAUACAGGGUUUUUUUUGCAAAAUUGCCACGACGGACGGCAGAAGCGAUGCGCUCUUUAUUAUUAGGGGAGAUUAAUUAGUCUUCGUAUUUACACAUUAGUACUAGAAUUCCUUUAGACGUAGCACUUUUAUUCCGUAAAACAGCUUGGCCCUGAUUUUUCAAAUAGCCAUAACUUUUUACUCGUUUAUCCGAAUUAGAUGAAACCAACGCCUAGAGUUUCGACUUGAUCCCACCUAUCCUGUGAACCUAUCAUAUCAACUUUUUGAAAUUUUUAAAUUUCGAAAUUUGUUCAUAUUCAUAUUCAAACUUUUUUUGCUCAUAUCUUUUUAUCCGUUGCUCCGUUUUAGAUGAAUCCAAUUGCGUCGGAUUCGUAUCAAAGUAAUCUUCCCGUUUGUAUCAUUAGUUUUAAAUUUUCAACUUAUAAUUUUGAUCAAAUCAGAUUUAUCUAUUAGUGCCCAAAAGUGUUCACAUCGUUCUAAGCCGAUUAAAUGUUAUAUUGAAGUAUUUGUAUCUUUUGAUCCGCUAUUUCAAAUCUAGUAAUUCUUUUUUCUACACGCUCAUAUUGAUCUACUAUAUCCAAUAGCAUCAUUAGUUUCGACCUUUGAACCUUACAAAUUUGAGCGAUUCAAAUUUGUAUUCAAACAUUCAUUUGAUCUUAUCUUGCAAAUCGUACCACCUUUUCAAUUGAUUCAUUUCACCCCUAAACACUCAUGUCAUAUAUAUUUGUACAUAACCAUCGUACUUCAGUUCAACUUCUCUUGACCUUUUUAAUGCAAAUUUAAUUCAUACUUCAAUUCACUAUAACUUGCGUUGUACUGCUCCAUUUCAAGAAAUUCUUUCUACAAAUAAAUUCUUAUGCCUUAUACUAUUUGUCAAACAACAUUCAUGUUGUUCUCCCAAUAUUUUUGAUCAUCUCCCAUAGUGUAUGCAAGUCGAGCUUAUAUAGCAAUGGUUCCUCGUCCAUUAAAUCUUUUGAUCUCAUUCAUGCACCUUCACUUUACAACACACUUAGGACCUUUUAAUUAAACCUUAGUACGUUGUUAUUUUGCACCAAGACAUGCUUUGUACUUAUGUUCUCUUGGUUCUUCCUCUUUGGCAUGAAUAUUUAUUGAAUGCUAUUUGUUUACGAUAGAUUGCUCGGAGUGUGGCGAGUAGAAUUAUCAGGAUUAUGAGAGCGACUAUCUUCAUCAAGUAAUACCAGGCAAGUCACUUUGAUCAUACUAUCACCUAUGUUUUAUGCAUCGUAGUUCUACCAUCCUAUGCCCAAUUGCAUGCUGAGUAGGUACUUGGAAAUUUUAGUAUAGAUUGUAGUAUCAUGUGGUAGGCACACAACAACCCCGAUACUUGGCCCCGGGACGACAAAGUUCAUAUUGCUAUGCUUGAGUAGACGGGAUUUCAGUUGAGUGCAUAACACGAGUGAUGCGAGGUUGAUUAAAUAAUCAAGACCGGUUAAGACAAGAUUUUCAAGACCUCGGACGCAAUGCAACUCUGGGUGAAGGACGGUUGAUCGGCUCCCUGGAGAACCCAGUGGAUGCCCGGGAUGCUGGGGACGGCCAUGACAUCCUGCGGAAAGCUUCACCCAGGCUCAAAGAGACGGACGAAUAUUUUCAAGACCCAAGGCUUACCUGCACAGCCACAAGUCAUUAUGGGCUCUGGCUUGGUUGGACAACGCGGCGACUCUGGACAGGCGGUGCUAGUAGAUGUAGACGAACGGUAGGAAUGGAUGGGCACCGACAGGGAUUCAGAGGGACCCGUUGAAAGACCAUGUUUUGAUCAUCCGGUCUUCAAACACCCUGAAGUGCGAGGACAUACACGGAGGCGAUCAAAUCUUGUGGGGAACGUGUGCAUAACUCUGCAGAGUACUUAAACCUAAUCGAUUAGCCGUGUCCACGGUCAUGGACAACUUGAGCCAAAGGAACGGAAGUUAUCUGGAUUUCUCAACACCAUUAAAUAUAUCUGAUGAGGGUAAUAUUGAUAACUCGGGUAUGAGAACUGGUUGGCGGAACCAUCUCAUUAACAACCAACAGCGUAGUAAUAUUUUGCUUUUAGCCUCUCUUGAUGUAGGAGAAAACUUGCUUUUCGCUAAAAACUUAUAGCCCCACCUACCAUAUAUGCAUAUAGUAUAGAUGAUUACUUUUCACCCCUCUCUUAUGUGACUUGCCGGCAUAUUCAAUAUGCUGACCUACACGGCUGCGACGUCUUAUGUUGCAGAUAUUUUUCUUCGACGAGUAAGAGUACGAUUCAGGGUUACGGUCUACACUCAACUUGCCGUUGGUGUUUAUUGGGACUCCACUCCCUUGACUGCUUCCGCUGAGAUAUUUAAGGUAUAUAUCAGUCUUACGCUAUUUACAUGUGAUUGCACUUUGAUAUAUACAUUGAUGUACUGUGUGUGCCAGCAUACUGAUCCAGGGAUGGCACAGAAACACAGAGGCUUGACUCGUGUUGAGUCGGGUCGCUACAUGUACUCGAUAUUGUUUCUUCGGAAAGUGCACCGUAUGCUCAUUACCGUUGACAUGGAACGUGACAUUGCCUUUGUUGCAAUCUAUAACAGCCCCUGCAGUGUUUAAAAAGGGUCUUCCGAGGAUGACCGCCAUGGCAUCAUCCUUAGGAAUAUCCAAGAUAACAAAGUCUGUUAAGAUGGUGAUGUUAGCAACCACAACAGGCACAUCCUCGCAAAUGCCGAUAGGGAAAGCAGUUGAUUUGUCGGCCAUUUGCAGAGAUAUUUCAGUGGGUGUCAACUUAUCCAGUUCAAGUCUACGAUAAAGAGAGAGAGGCAUAACACUAACACCGGCUCCAAGGUCGCAUAACGCAGUUCUAACGUAGUUACCUUUAAUGGAGCAAGGUAUAGUGGGCACACCGGGAUCACCUAGUUUCUUAGGAGUUCCACCCUUGAAGGUAUAAUUGGCAAGCAUGGCGAAGAUCUCAAGAUCAGGUAUCCUCCUCUUAUUAGUCACAAUAUCUUUCAUGUACUUAGCAUACGGAGACAUUUUGAGCAUAUCUGUCAAACGCAUUUGCAGAAAGACAGGUCUGAUCAUUUCAACAAAUCGCUCAAAAUCCUCAUCAUCUUUUUCUUGGAUGGUUUGGGAGGAAAGGGCAUGGUUUUCUGAACCCACGGUUCCCUUUCUUUACCAUGCUUCCUAGCAGCGAAGUCAUUCUUAUCGUAUCUCUUAGUCUUAGGGUGUGGGUUAUCAAGAUCAACACUAGGUUCAAUCUCCACAUCCUUAUCAUUGCUAGGUUGAGCAUCUUCAUGAACAUGACUAUUGAUAUUAUCAUUAGGCUCAUGUUCAUCACCAGAUUGUGUUUCAGCAUCAGAGACAGAGGCAUCUUUUGGACUCUGAGGGGUAGCAGCAACAGGGUUGCUAGCGUGCAGGUUCCUGUCAUCUUUCUUCUUCUUUCUAGGAUGACUAGGUGCAUCAGUGCUAACUCCUUGAGAAUCUUGUUCAACUCUCUUCGGGUGACCCUCAGGUUACAAAGGUUCCUAGGUCAUUCUACCGCCUCUAGUAACGACUCUGACAGAAUUGUCAUUCAACUCAUUGAGCAAGUCAUUCUGAGCUUUAAGUACUUGUUCUACCUGAGUAGUAACCAUAGAAGCAUGUUUACUUAGAAGUUUAAUAUCAUUGACAUUUCUGUCCACACAAGCACUUAAAUGACUAAGCAUACGAGCAUUCUUUUCCAAUUUUCUGCUAACAUAAUCAUUGAAACUCUAUUGUUUGGCAACAAAGUUAUCAAAUUCAUCCAUGCAUAGGCUAGCGGGUUUAUCAAAAGGAAUAUCACUCUCAUCAAACCUACGCAGAGAAUUUACUUCUACUACCUGUAUCGGGUUAUCGAGACCAUGGAUCUCUUCGAUAGGUGGUAGAUUUUUGACAUCUUCAGAUUUAAUGCCUUUCUCUCGCAUAGAUUUCUUGGCUUCUUGCAUAUCUUCAUGACUGAGGAAUAGAAUACCUCUUUUCUUUGGAGUUGGCUUAGGAGGUGGUUCGGGAAUAGUCCAAGCAUUCUCAUUGCACAAGAUGUUAUUCAAUAGGAUUUCAGCUUGUUCUACAGUUCGUUCCCUAAAAACACAACCAGCACAACUAUCUAGGUGGUCUUUCGAAACAUCAGUAAGUCCAUUAUAGAAGAUAUCAAGUAUUUCAUUCUUCUCAAGAGGGUGAUCACACAAAGCAUUCAGUAGCUGGAUGAGCCUCCCCCAAGCUUGUGGGAGACUCUCUUCUUCAACUUGAGCAAAGUUGUAUAUUUCGUGCAAGGCAGCUUGCUUCUUAUGGGCAGGGAAAUAUUUUUCAGAGAAGUAGUAGACCAUAUCCUGGGGGCUACGCACACAACCAGGAGCAAGAGAAGUGAACCAGGUAUUAGCAUCAUCCUUUAGCGAGAAACGAAACAGCUUGAGCAUAUAAUAGUGGCGGAUCUUUUCCUCACUAGUGAAUAGGGUGGCUAUAUCGUGCAGUUUGGUAAGAUGGGCUACAACCGUUUCAGACUCAUAACCGUGAAAAGGAUCAGAUUCGACCAGAGUGAUUAACUCAGGGUCGGCAGAGAAUUCAUAAACCUUAUCGGUCACAAAGAUAGGCGAAUUGGCAAACUUCGGGUCAUAUUUCAUCCUAGCGUUCACAGAUUUUUCUUUCCACUUGCGCAGAAGUUUCUCAACAUCAUAGCUAUCCUUACACGCAAGAAAAUCUUCAGCUAUCUCUCCCUCCAUAACAUAGCGUGUAUCAGGCAUAACAGGGAAUUCAGGCAUAGUAGCAGGUUCUACUUCAAUAGUAUCAGCAGUUUCAGAAGUAUCAUCACAUCUAGCGGCAGCUCUAGCAAUAUGUGCAUCAAGGAAUGCACCAAGUGGCAAAGCAGUAUCAGGCAUAGCAGGCAUAGUAUCAAGCAUNNNNNNNNNNNNNNNNNNNNNNNNNNNNNNNNNNNNNNNNNNNNNNNNNNNNNNNNNNNNNNNNNNNNNNNNNNNNNNNNNNNNNNNNNNNNNNNNNNNNUGCCUUUUCUGUUUUUUCUGUUUCCCUUUUCUUUUCUUUUCUCUAUUUUAUUAUUCGUUUUAUAUUAUGAUUUAUUUUAAAUUCAUAUUUUUUGUUUCGAUAAUUAUUUUUAUUUUCUCUAUUUUACCAUUUAAUUUUAUUUGUUUCCUUUUCCAUCCAUUUCUUAUUUAUUCAUUUAUUUAUUUUAAAUUCAUGAAACUUUUUCACUCUGUCAUCUUUUAACUUCAAAUGUUGUGCAAAUCUUUUUUGCGGGUUCUUUUUGUCACCCCCGUCCAGUGGUGUGCUAUUUGUCUUUUGUCUAUUUGUCGACUUGUUCACGUGUGCGAUUUUUGGUGGAUCAUUUUCCAUGACGCGAUCUGGGAGUUCUGUUUCGGAUUGGUUUUACUAAUUCUCAUCUAGGUGAGAGUUGACAAUGUCAUCUAACUCCUAUACCAUUAAAUAUCGUUUGCAAAAGUAUUCAUUUGUCGUUGUGUCAUAUUUUGUCUUCAUCUCAUGAGAAGUAGUGAGACCUGAUAUGACUUUUAGUGAGCCGUUUUCAUGUUUUGUGUAUUGGUUUAUUUUUUGGGCUAUAGUUUUUUGGUGGAAGGCCACAUGUCAUUUUAUUCCAUGUUAUUUUAUUUUAUUUUCGGUUCGAUUGUGUANNNNNNNNNNNNNNNNNNNNNNNNNNNNNNNNNNNNNNNNNNNNNNNNNNNNNNNNNNNNNNNNNNNNNNNNNNNNNNNNNNNNNNNNNNNNNNNNNNNNGAUUGACGAACGGGAGCUAGUUACAUAUCUCUCCGUGUUAUAGCUGUUACAUGAUGAAUCACAUCCGUCAUACUCAUCCAUCACCAAUCCACUAGCUACGAGUCUUUUACUACUGGUUCUCGCUACGUUACUUUGUUUAGGCUUGUCCCUUGCUACAAAAUGGAUUGGGCCACUUUGCUGCUACUGCUGUCACUUUGCUACUACUGUUGCUACUGCUGUUACUCUGUUGCUGCUACUACUGGUGUUCCUUGCUACCUCGCUGUUACUUGUUGCAAGACUUUUCUGGAGCCGUUGCUAGGGAAGAAUAGUUCCCAGUCCACAUGCUCUUUACUGGCGCCAUUGAUAGAACAGUUAGGAAUAGUGUGCCAUCAACAGAUCGUUUCUGGCAUCGUUGCUAUCAUACUACUUUGCUACUGAUACUUUGCUUGCAGACACUAAUCUUUCAGGUGUGGUUGAAUCUGAUAAAUUCAGCUGCUAAUACUUGAGAAUAUUCUUUCGCUUCCCUUGGCGAACCAACAAAUUUGGGUUGAAUACUCUACCCCNNNNNNNNNNNNNNNNNNNNNNNNNNNNNNNNNNNNNNNNNNNNNNNNNNNNNNNNNNNNNNNNNNNNNNNNNNNNNNNNNNNNNNNNNNNNNNNNNNNNCUAUAGGGCGAAUUCAAAAAAUGCUCAGGAUUUUUGUCAAAAUAUUCACAUAUUCAGAAAAAUGUUCAUAAUUUUGAGAACAAUGUUGGUGAAAACAAUAAAAGUCCAUGAUUUUGAAAAAAAGUUUGUGUGUUAUUUUUUGAGUGCAAUUGAAAAAAAUGUUUGGUUAUUUAAAAAAUGUUCAUGCAUUUUAAGAAAUGUCCUAAAAUUUUGAAGACAUAAUAUGAUCAGCACCAUUGGAGAUUAUAAUUGUUUUUCUCCCGUUGCAACGCACGGGUCCUUUUGCUAGUAUAUCUAAUUACUCUAUCGUAUACUAGUGUAGGAAUACUAGUCUAGAAAUAAUAAACUACGGGAGUAAAAAAAAUACCUUUAGAAUGCAGAGUAAGAAUUAAUUCCAAUGAGGAGACGACUUCGAGAAAUCCCGCCGAAGAGAAAAAAAAUAUUUUUAUUUAAUAAAUCUAGUUAAACCAAAAGAUUGAUUUAACCCGAAAUAGAUGAUUUUUUGGAUGCUCCUAUGGGUCUAUAUUUAUAGGUGGAAGGAAGGUCUAAUGAUCCAUAGAUAGGCAAUGUGGGACUAAACAUAUACGUAACGUGGAGAGAAAAGAAAAAGAAAGGAAGAGGGGUGCCGCAUGGGCCAUGGAUUCGGCCAGCCAUAUGAGUAGUACGGCCAGGCGCUGCCUUUGUUUUUUUCUUUUUCGAACGAACAAUUUUUUUUAAAACAAAGAAAAACGUAUAAAUGAAAAAGAGAGAAAAUUUUAUAUAGACAUAUUAUAUAUCAAAAUUUUCAGAAUAAAAUUUUCUAAAACAUGAACAUAUUUUUAAAACCAAAAAAAAUACUUUUUUAAAAAGUUAUUUUUUUGCAAUAACUUUAAAAUGAAAAGGAAUUUGAAUUUCAAAUAAAUUGCAAAUACUUAAAAUUUGAAUCAAGACAUUGUCUCUGAUUUUGGAGUGUCAUUUUUCUCCUUUCGUUUGAUUUUUUUUAAUCAAAGGUUUUUGAAAAUAUUCAAACUCAAAAUUGAAAAGGGAUUCAAAAUAGAAAAUUUUGGGAAAGUCAUUUUAUUCCCUCUCAUUUUUUUGAAAAGUUUCAAAGUCCACUCAAGUUUCAGUCACUCAAACAAACAAACAAUCAAUCUAAUAAUUAUAUUAACAUUCCAAAAUUUANACAGUGCACUUUCCGAAGAAACGAUAUCAAGUACAUUGCAUCAAUGCUAUCGAAAAGACUUCAUCGAUUCUUAUUGGGAGCUUUGAAUGCCCUAUUCCUCGUGUCAAGAUGAAGUAUGAUUUGCUUGUUGGGGAAAUACACAUCCCCAUUGAGGUGACCUAGUGACUAUUCGAGAAUUCUCCGUUCUCUUUUGCGAUUCGAAAAGGUUUGUCGAGGAGACUUGAUCAACCUCACUGACGGAUUUCUUUCGAUGACCAUGAGAUGGAUGAAUCGAGGAGUCACAAACCUCUGUUUCAAGCUUUCACCUUCGGUUGCUUAGAAGAAAAAUGAUAGAUUUAGAUUAGUUUUCCCUGUUUUCUGUUUUAGCGUCCGGUAGAAAAGUACCACGAAAAUAGAAGUUCUCCGAACGUCCUGAAAAUCAAGUAUGAUUUUUUCUGGAUUUUUUAAAAAAUACUGGGACAAAGAGUCUGUCUCGGGGCCACACUAGUGGGCCACAAGCCCUAGGGACGCGGGCACCCCCUAGUCGCGCCACCCAGGCUUGUGGGGCCCACAGGCACCCCCUCCACUCAUUCUUGCUCUCAUCCGCUUCUCCUACCUCCAGAAAAAAUCGUUUCGCAGCUCAAACCCGUGAUCUUGCUCCUCUUGCUGGGAUUUUCGAUCUCUUUGCUCAAAUCACCAUUCUCCGAACUGUUUUGGGGAAAUUACUCCUUGGUAAGUGACUCCUCCAUUGGUCCAAUUAGUUUUUUCUCUAGUGCCUUAUACUCCGCAUAUUUUUGCUGCCUUGGUGACCAUGUUCUUGAGCUUUGCAUGCUGAUUUUAGCUGGUCCCAAGUAGUUUUGAUGCGUAAUAUGGCCUCUAGGCACUUGUGGGAGUAGUUGCUAUGAGUUUUGUUGGGCCUUAUUCACUUUUCCUUAGAAUCACUAAAAAAUUCAGAAAUUUUCAGAGAUAGAAAAGGGAAAAGAUGAGGAGGUUCUUAAUAGGCUCUUCAAGCUGUGAGCCCAAGGAUGAUGGGAGUGAGAAGAAGCCCAAGUAUCCGGUCCCUCGAGUCGUAGAAGUUCGAGCAUGCGAAUGGCCAAGCGACGUGUUCUUACGCGCCGCAGGAAUUUAUGAGGACUUUUAUCACUUGGUGGAAAAUGCAGGCCUUACCGCCUUCGUUGAAGAUAAGUGUCCGCAAUACCUCCUCCUCACCAAUAUCUUCGUACAAAGCUUUAACUUCUAUCCGAGGAAGAAUCCUCCUAUGGUUGAGUUUAAACUUUAUGAUAUCCCCCAGCGCAUGUCACUCCAGGAUUUUUGCAAUGUUUGCAAAUUUCCUUUUGUUGGGGAUAUUCGUGAACCUCUUCCACGAGACUUGGAAGCUUUCAUUGAUACAAUUGCUGUAGGAGAGGAGAGAGGAGUGUCUUGCGCUAGAGCUGCUAGCAUUCAUUUUCCCGUGCUUCGGUACUUCUCAUUAUUUGUGGGAAAAUGUUUGAUUGGCUGUGGGAAAGCUGGGUCACUUAGUUCCCCAGAUCUUGCGGUCUUGCACGAAGCCCUUUAUAACGAUAAAACUUAUAGCUUGGGCGUUAUAGUAGCUCAACGGUUGAACCUGAACCGUUCUAAAGGUGUUGUCUAUGGAGGUAUCUAUGCUACUCGUCUUGCCAGACACUUUGAGAUACCUAUUAGACUGGACGAGGAAGAAGAGGUUCUUCUUCCCGAGAGAUAUCUAGAUUACGACAACAUGGUUCGCCAUGACUUUUUUGAUAGAGAUAUAAGUAGAAGGAUGAUUUAUAACCUGGUGUUUAGUCAGGGUACCCGUGAGACUAUUACUUUGCCUGCUCCUUCUUUGUUCAAUCUUCAUGCAAGCAGGUACAUUAUUAUGCCCUCAGACAUCUACGCAUAUUGGGGCUUAGCCCAACCACAGGUGCCCGUGCCCGAGCCACCAGUCGAGUACCAGACGCCGGUUUAUCAGUGGGAGCUAGAGGAGCUCACAUAGCAGUGGCAUCCUCAGUCCACUCAGGAGUACCCCGGAGCUGGUUAUUUCCCUCCUUGGGGGUAGACCAAGUUAGGACAAAAGCCUAAGCUUGGGGGAGUACGUGUUCUCACCGACUUUACAUUCUUGCUUAUGCUUUCACUUUGUUAGCCGGUGUUCGCACUUUGCCACUGUAUCAUCCAUGCUAGUUUAUUUUCUUUUUCUCGUUUUCUUUUUGUGUGUCUGUCUAGUUUGAAAAACCCAAAAAGAUUUUCUUUUUCUUCUUUUGCUUGUUGGGAGCUUUCCCGUGUAGAUAGUUUUGUUUUUUCUUUGGGUCAAGGUAGAAGAUAUUGGUUACAAUGUUUAGCGGCUCUUGCAUGCAUACCUGUUUAGCUUUCAAACAACCAUAUUAUUUUGUCUUCUCCUUUGUGUUUGCCUGCAGAUUCCAGCUUUAGUCCAAUGCACGAGCACGCUUAUUAUUGUUCACAUCAUACGGUCGUGCAAGUGAAAGGCAAUAAUGACGAUAUAUGAUGAAGUGACUGAGCCUGGAAAAGCUGGUAUGAACUCAAUCUAUUUUGUUUUUGUAAAUAUGACUAGCUCUUCAUGCCUGAUUCAGCUUUGUUGUGAGAGAAACAUGUUUGCAAUGAAAACUUAGAGAUCAUAGUUGCUUAUGCCAUGCUUACUUAACUAGGAGCCUAUAAUGGUUUGUCUUGGUUGCCCACAUGAAUGUUGAGAUGACUGUGUUGUAGUAUGAUAGGAUGGUAUCCUCCUUUGAAUGAUUCAAGUGGCUUGACUUGGCGCAUGUUCACGCAUGUAGUUGAAACAAAAUCAACAUAGCCUCUAUGAUGUCCAUGUUCAUGGUGAUUUAUGUCCUACUCAUUCUUGCACUCAAUGUUAGUUAAUCUCAAUGCAUUUUGAUGACUGUUGUCGCUCUCUAGUUGGUCGCUUCCCAGUCUUUUGCUAGCCUUCACUUGUCCUAAGUGAGAAUACUGCUUGUGCAUCCACUUCCAUAAACCCAAAGUUGUUCCAUAUGAGUCCAUCAUACCUACCUAUUUGUGGUAUCUACCUACCGUUCCAAGUAAAUUUUCAUGUGUCAUUCUCUAAACCUUCAAGAAAUAAUCUGUUUUGCAUGCCCGAACCACUCAUGUGGUGACAGGGGGCUAUUGGUAUCUUCCAUGCUAGGCGUGUUAUCCUCGAUAUGUGUUUAUUCACUGUCAUUCACGAGAAAGGGGCCGGUAAUUGGAAUUCCCAGUUCCAUGCUCAAAUCAAAAUAUAGUUGCAAACAAAAGUCCCCCAGGAUUGAUGUUGGUAUGGACGGUACCUGAGGAUCGGCUAGCCGUGGAGUGUGAUUGAUUGGUGGUGGGGGAGUCAAAACUUUACUUUUCUGUUUGGGAACCGCCUAUAUCAUGUGUAGCGUGGAAGAUGUUGAUAAGUCUUGGUCAUUGCGUUGACAAUGAAAGCAUACCAACCAAAAUUAUUAUCUCUGUUUUCAAAGCUUGAGCUCUGGCACCUCUGCAAAUCAAUGCUUCCCUCUGCAAGGGCCUAUCUAUUUAUGUUCCUGUUGAGUCAUCCUCCUCUUAUAAAAGCACCAAUUAGAGAGCACCUGUGUCGUUUUUGUGCGUUGCUUUUAACUGUGUUGAGUAUGACUAUGAAUGGAUCUUCAUUGCCAUGAAUUACAAUGUUUAGUCAGCCCUUGGUCUUUUAAGGUGCUGUGCAUUUAUGUUUUGCGGUAUCAGAAAGAGCUAGAGAGAUACCAUCUCUUCGCACUGCUUCAUGAUUGUUUUGAUUGAAGUGUUGACGUUUGAGACUUAUUAUUAUUUGCUCGCUAGUUGAUUAUGCCAUUGGUACGAGUUUAACAUGAGACCUAGAUGUAUUUUGCUUAUCUCGUUUGCUUGUGAUCUUGCUGAAAUUCUGGUUAUGAGUUAGACAUAGUUGCAACAACAAGAUCAAACAGAGUUCGUCAAAGUUUUUCUUUUGUCUCUUUCAGUUUGUCAACUGAAUUGCUUGAGGACAAGCAAGGAUUUAAGCUUGGGGGAGUUGAUACGUCUCCGUCGUAUCUACUUUCCGAACUCUUUUGCCCUUGUUUUGGACUCUAAUUGGCAUGAUUUGAAUGGAACUAACCCGGACUAACGUUGUUCUCAGCAGAAUUGCCAUGGUGUUGUUUUUGCGCAGAAAUAGAAGUUCUCGGAAUAACCUGAAAAUUUUCGGAGAAUUUUUCUGGAAUUUAUGAAAAAUACUGGCGCAAGAAUCAACGGAUGGAGUGGAGCUAUGAGCCCGCAAGCCCACCAGGCGCGGCCCCCCUGGCCGCGCCUCGCAGGCUUUUGGGGCCCACAACGCUCCACCGCCUCCAAUCUCAGGUCUAUUUUAGUCCGUAUCACCCGGACAAAAAUCAUAGAGAAGGUUUCAUCGCGUUUUGUGAUACGGAGGCGCCGCCACAUCCUCUUCUUCAUAUGGAGGGCAGAUCUGGAGUCCGUUUUGGGCUCCGGAGAGGGGAAAUCGUCGCCAUCGUCAUCAUCAACCUUUCGCCAUCGACAAUUCCAUGAUGCUCUUCACCGUUCGUGAGUAAUCUCAUCGUAGGCUUGCUGGACGGUGAUGAGUUGGAUGAGAUCUAUCAUGUAAUCGAGUUAGUUCUUGACGGGGAUUGAUCCCUAGUAUCCACUAUGUUCUAGAUUGAUGUUGCUACUACUUGGCUAUGCUUAAUGCUUGUCACUAGGGCCCGAGUGCCAUGAUUUCAGAUCUGAACCUAUUAUGUUGUCACUAAUAUAUGUGUGUUUUAGAUCCUAUCUUGCAAGUUGUAGUCACCUACUAUGUGUUAUGACCCAGCAACCCCGGAUUGACAAUAGUCGGAACCACUCCCGGAGAUGACCAUAGUAUGAGGAGUUCAUGUAUUCACCACGUGUUAAUGAGUUGGUCCGGUUCUUUAUUAAAAGGAGAACCUUAAUAUCCCUUAGUUUCCAUUAGGACCCCGCUGCCACGGGAGGGAUGGACAAGAGAUGUCAUGCAAGUUCUUUUCCCUAAGCACGUAUGACUACAUACGGAAUACAUGCCUACAUUAGAUUGACGAACGGGAGCUAGUUACAUAUCUCUCCGUGUUAUAGCUGUUACAUGAUGAAUCACAUCCGUCACACUCAUCCAUCACCGAUCCACUGCCUACGAGUCUUUUACUACUGGUCCUCGCUACGUUACGUUGCCUAGGUUUGUCCCUUGCUACAAAAGGGAUUGGGCCACUUUGCUACUACUGUUGCUACUGCUGUUACUCUACUGCUGCUGCUACUGCUGUUCCUUGCUACUUCACUGUUACUUGUUGCAAGAUCGUUUCCGACACUAUUGUCGGGGAAGAAUAGUUACUCGUCCACGUGCAACCUACUGGCGCCAUUGGUACAACAGUUAGGAAUAAUCAGCCGUCAACAGAUCGUUUCUGGCACAGUUAUUAUCAUACUACUUUGCUACUGAUUCUUUGCUUGCAGACACCAAUCUUUCAGGUGUGGUUGAAUCUCACAAACUCAGCUGCUAAUACUUGAGAAUAUUCUUUCGCCUCUUCUUUGGCGAACCAACAAAUUUGGGUUGAAUACUCUAACCUCGAAAACUGCUGCGAUCCCAUACGCUUGUGGGUCAUCAAUCGAUACCUUGGUUCUCAAACUGAGGGAAAUACUUACUGCUCCUGUGCUGCAUCACCCUUUCCUCUUCAAGGGAAAAACCGACGCUAACAAGAGAAGUAGCAAGAAGAAUUCCUGGCGUUGCUUGGGAAGGACUUUUGUUGCCGUAGGAGGAGGGUUAUGGCCAAAAUGGAUGCACUUCGUGUAUAAAAUGGACAAUCUCUUUCGAAGUAUCGGGAUUUCGGACGAAUCUCAUCUCUUACGAAGGCAUUCCAUUUUUUAAUAACCUAAAAAUUAACAAAUUUAAUAUAAUGGUAAAACACACUAAUAUUAAACAUUAGAAAAAAAGAAUGACCAAAAAAUCUAUUUAAAUAUAAAGUUAUUCACAAAAUAGUGAUUCACACAAAUUUCAAAAAAAAUCAAAUUUGAACUACGUAAAUUUGAAAACUACUAGCACUAACAGAAAUUUUGUAGUUUAUUGACCUAAAACAAAAAGAUUCAUUCAAAAACUAUAAAUAAUCUAACACUUAUUCCUAAUUAAAAAACAAAAACUGUCGUGUUUAGAAAAUUAAAAACAAUAAAAAAGAGAAAAUAGACCUUUAGUCCCGGCUGGAGCCACCAACUGGGACUAAAGGUCCCUUCUUGCGCGGAGUUUGGGCCGUCGAAAAUACACCUUUAGUCCCGGUUGGUUGGUCUAGCCGGGACUAAAGGUGUGUGCUAGUGGGCCAGGCGCCCCACCUUUAGUCCCGGUUGGAGCCACCAACCAGGACUAAAGACCCUUUAGUCCCGGCUCCAACCGGGACUAAAGGUCCCUACAUAUAAAUCCCCGUGCCUGUUUCGGCCCGAUCUCUUCCAUUCGACCCCUCGACGCCGACGCCCCUGCCCAGAUGCUUCCAGGCUGUCGGAGUCGCCGCCGCUCUGAAGCCGUCCUCGUCGUCGCCGCCAUCGACGUCGGUCGUCUGCGCCUCAUCCACGAGCCAUCUGCCCGUCGACGAGCCGCUGCUGCGCUCGGGUCCUUCUCUCCCACAGUGAGCUCCGUCGGCCGCCUCCUUCCCUCCUCGAACUGAGCGCCAUGGCCACCGGCCUGCCCGAGCGCGGCGGCGCCAUGGCCGCCGGCCGACCCGAUGUUCAUAUAGAUGUUUUGAAAUUGUUCAUAGAUUUUCAUAUAUAGAUGUUUUGAAAUUGUUCAUAGAUGUUCAUAUAGAUGUUUUGAAAUUGUUCAUAGAUGUUCAUAUAGAUGUUUUGAAAUUGUUCAUAUAUGUUCAUAUAGAUGUUUUGAAAUAUUGUUCAUAGAUAUGUUUUGAAAUUUUUGCCAUAUGGUUAAUUAGGUAGUACUCCCUCCGUUCCUAAAUAUAAGUCUUUCAGAUGUUUCACUAAAAUACUACACACGUGAUGUAUAUGGACAUUCUUUAGAGUGUAGAUUCACUCAUUUUGUUCCGUAUCUAGUUUCCUAGUGAAAUAUCUAAAAAGACUUGUAUUUAGGAAUUGUUGCCAUAGUUUUAGGUAGUGUGAUGUUCAUAUAGAUGUUUUGAAAUUGUUGCCAUAGUGUUAGGUAGUACGAUGUUCAUAUAGUGUUAGGUAGUGCGAUGUUCCUAGUGUUAGGUGUUACCAUGCAUAUAAUAAGUUUACAUUGUGAGAAGAAAAUAUGUACGAUGAUAACUUACUUAUUUAGAUGUAUAUGAUAUUUCACCCUAAGCUUAAAUAGUAGAAAUUUAAAUAAUUGUAGAAUUUGUUCUCGACAUCGACGAUACCCGACCCACAUCCUCGUCAUCGACUCGGUGGCGCCAACCUGCUUGAGAGGCGCCAUGUCCGGGACUGGGCUCCGCCGGGCUGGCACUGGGAGGUGCUACCUUGCGGGGCGUGCAUCUUGCCGAGGAACCGGGCUCCCGUCAUCGACCCAGAGCUUCUUUGGUGGCGGUCGCGUGGUCCACUUUCGGUGCGGAGUAAGCCAACCCCCGAGGAGGAGGUACAUCGCCGUGCCAGGGAGGACGACAAGCAUAUCCGUCUCUACAUGGAGGCGUUGGACGUCAGGUUCUUAAAUACCUGGCAUAUCCUUCACGGAUCUCACACGAGCUAUGAUCCUGUGAUGGUUCCUUCGCUUUGGGUGUCCACCACCCGCGCCUCAGUACAAUGGCAACUCUUUGGGUGGCCGGUUUGAUAAUAUGAAUCGAGAGAUGUAUUAGUGAUAAUAUUGGAGAGAUGUAUUUGAGAUUAUAUUCGAUAAUAUUAAUUCUAUGAUGCAUUAAUUAAGUGAAUUAUUCGAUGUAUUCGUGAUAUUAUAUAUAUGAUGAUCUUGCUAGUUAUAGUGAAUACUAAAUUGUGUUAUCUUUCUUCUUGAUUACUUAAGCUAUGGACAGUAGAGACAGAGACCAUGAUCAACAAUAUGUCUUGUACGACAUAAUACGCCCGGGAAACCAAGAGAAUGAAUAACUAGAUGAUGGCUCACAAUAUCUGAACCCAUACUGUGAGGGAAUUGAGGAAGAACAACCAAGAGACCAUGGGGAACCAGACAAUGAUGACGAAGAACUUUUUCUCGAAUCAACAAAGUCCGACGAGGUAUAUAUUUGUCCCUUGGUGAUCAUUAGAUGUAUUAAUUGAUCUAUAUAUAAUAUAUAUUAACGAGUCUCUUCUUUUAGCCCUCCGGAUCGAGCAAAUUGCCUAUAAGCAGGGCAGUACAAGGCCAGGCCAAAAAGUUGGCUGACGAUAGAAAGUACAACAUCGACGACAUAACAGAAGGUGGCCUACCAAGUGGUCCCAAAGCUAAUGUGGACAAAUUUGUCCGUCAAUGCGGAGUUAUUGUCAGGGACCAAAUCCCGAUCUCCAUUCAAGAGUGGCAUAGACCAAAGAAAGAUCGAGAAGUUAGUUUUGUGGACGAAAGAGCAAAAAAUCUGCUUUGGGAUACAGUCAUGACGCAUUUCACCCUAUCAGAGAAUUUGUCAGAUGCACAACGGGAGAAAGUCAAGAGGUAUGCUCUUAAGAAGAUGGACACACAAUUUUGCAACUGGAAGAAAAGGUUAUGGUCCAACUUCGGCAAACAAGACAAGACUCCAGAAUUCACUGUACAAUACGAGAAGUUAAAAGAUCAUGGGACUUACUUGUGCAGUUCAAGCAAUCAGAAACCGCUAAGGAGAGGGCGAGGAUAAACAAGCAAAAUGCUCAGAAAAAAGAGAACCACCAUUCUCUGGGGCCAGGUGGCUACAAGAGUGGCAUACCUAAGUGGGAUGAAUACGAGCAAAAUAUGAUUGAUGCAGGGGUCACUCCGCAAACAAUUACUUAGACCAGAAGGUGCAUGAAUUGGUUUUAUGGGCAUGUGGGAAAGUUGGACCCAAACACAGGGGUGAUUUUGGAGCAUGCAAGUCUUAAAAAUGCCUCUAAAGCUAUACUUCAGGCAAUAAAAGAUGCUCGAACGGGGGUGUUCCAGCCCGAGAGAGAGAACAAUGAGCUUACACACGCCCUCAAGAAUCCCGAACACCCGGGACGAACACGAGGCAAAGGCGUUGUUCAGUGAGCUGAGGGGUUUAAGGACUGGAACAAACUCUUACAAAAGCCGUUCGAGAAAUAAGAAUCAGGAGGCAUGCAAGAAGAGGCAGGACGUUGACCGGCUUGAGGAUUUGGAACGCAAAUUCUUGCGACAGCAAGAGCAGAUCGACAACUUAACCAGCAAAGGACUUCCCAGCGGCUGGAGCAACCAGAUCCAACAUUGGAUAACAUCAUCCCAGCGAUGCCGAAAAGUAGCAUGGGUUCCAUGAGGGUCAUUGCGGAUGCUCACUGUUGGCUCAUUACCCCGUGGGUGAAAUCAUAGAGGCGAAAAGUUGUGAGCUUCACAUGAAACUCAAGAACAUAUCCACGAAGGUAGCGGAUGACUAUGCUUUAACAAAUCCCCCUGAUGCAACCUUCCAUUCCAAUCCGAUUCCAGCUCGCUAUGCUCGUGUCGAGGUGUAUGAAGUGAUGCCGGGAUAUGAGUCACUAGAGCUCGACAUUCCUGGAGGUGAAGGGUAGCAUACACUGCAAGAAGUCUUACAUGGUCUCUGCUUAUGGAGAAAGGACUACAUCGUCUUUCCAAGGCCAUCGACUCCUCCACCAAGUCCGCCGCGUCAGCCGACUCCAACCCACCACCCGACACGGAGCAUAGCGCUAGUCCGCCACCGCGUUAGCUGACUCCAUCCCACCCCGACAUGAAGCCCAACACGAGUCUACCACCGUGGCCAUUUAAUCUUCUGAUGAAGAACCAGAGCCCAAAGUGGAAGAGAGCACCAAGGAAGAAACCCUACCCUCCUGCCAAAAAGAAGUUGGCUUACGAGAUGAGCACGGAGGAAAGAGACACCCAAGUGGCUAAGGAAUUGUAGGACCAUUUUGGACUGAAACCGUUGAUGACCCACAAGUGUAGGGGAUCUAUCGUAGCCUUUUCGAUAAGUAAGAGUGUCGAACCCAACGAGGGGCAGAAGGCACUGACAAGUGAUCUUUAGCAAGGAAUAACUGCAAGUAAUAAAAGGUAGUUUUUUCUGGGUUUUCUAGUAAUAGCAACAAGGAAAUAAAUGCAAGAAAAAUAAAUGGUGCCGAGGUGCAGCGAGUGGCCCAAUCCUUUUGAACACAAAGGAUAAGCCGAGGGACUAAACUUAUAAAGACUAAGGCAUUACUGAGGACACACGAGAGAGAUAGUCAAGUGCUUUCGCCAUACUCUGUCUAGUACUAUGUUUUGUAUUGAUAAGUGUUAUGUGGGUGGAUCUUAACUAGUGCACCAUCUAGGCUAACACAAGUACACUCUUAUGAUUAAUCCCUCUUGCAAGAAUCCGCAUAUACAAGAGAGAAAUUAAGGAAAAACCUAACCAUAGCAAUAAGCUUUAGGAUCCAGUACUCCCUCAUGCAAAAGUAUGCGAAUUGGGGUUCAGGUUUCUGUCACUCCGGCAACCCACCAUAAGAAUUAUUUAUACAUGAUGCAUUCCCCUAGGUCCUUAAAAAGGUGAAGUGUUAUGUAGUUGACAUUCACAUAACACCACCAGAAGAAUAACACCAUAACUUAAAUAUCAAUCAACACAUGUUACUUCAACAUCAUAUGACUACUAGCAUUUAGAAUUUUACCAUGUCCUCAAGAAUUAACAUAACUAUUCACAAGACAUAAAAUAGAUCAUGAUCAAAGGUGAUGAAAAUAUGAUUAACAAUCUGUUCAUAACAAUAAUUCUCCAACAAAACUCAAUAGCAUUCACCACAAAAGAGUAAUCAACACCGGUAGAGUAGAGGGGAUUAAUAGUGCAAGGUAUAACUCUGAUCGUAGUAGAUGGGAUGAAGAUGGAGAUGGUGCUGGUGAUGGUGAUGAUGGUGAUGAUGAUCUCAAUGACGCCCGUGAUGAUGAGGAUGAUCUCCCCUUCCGGGAAGAGUUCUCCCCGGCGGAAUCUGCCCGCCAGAAAGGUCUUUUCUUCUCUGUAGGUUUCCGCCAUGGAGCGUCGGCGGAACUGCGAAAACUCUUCUGUCCCCAUAACUUUUAGGUCAAGAGUAUGAUAUAGGCCAAAGGAGAGAGACGGAGGCGGGACCCACCACCCAGGCGGCCUCUGGGCGCGACCUAGGGGGCCCACUCUAGCAGGUUGCUUGGGUGACCUGUGCCCCCCUCCAGCCCUCCUUCGACCAGUCUUCGUGAUACGUUCGGAAACUUCUUCCUUCAAAAUUUCAGCGCAGUUGGAGAUGUUCUGAUAUGGUAACUCUUCGUGCUAUUUUCUCCGCUGAAUCCUGCGUGUGCUGUUUUGGCACCGGAAAGUUGUAAACUGCGUAAAAUAAUCCAAAACACUAUAAGCACAUCAUCAUAAUGUGAAAUAUAUCAAUGAAUAGAGAUAAAUUAUGAUACAAAAUAGUGAUGCAUUUUGGAUGUAUCAACUCCCCCAAUCUUAGACCUCGCUUCUCCCUAGGCGAAUACUGAGCUCGGUAAACCUGUCCACAAGUUUAGAGAGUGAAGUGUCGAUAAAUAAGAAUAUUGACAAGAAGGAUCAAUUUCGCUACUAAACUCAACCAUCCUCAACAACAAUCUCAACUCAUAAGGCUCUUAUGAAAGAGUGAUAUCAAUCACAAUCAAAAGUAGGGCUAGAAAAACUCAUCAAACCAUGGCAAACAUGUCCUUGGUCAAAGAACAACUAAUAACUUUUAACUUUUGCUCUUCCUCUUAUAUUUUGAUGAGAUCAAUUGAAGCUUUUUGAAAGAACAUGUUAUUAGUCAAGAAGUGAAAAUGCUAACACAAAGGAAGAUGUUUUCUUUAGCUAGGCUUUAACAAACAACUUACUUAUCUUAAUGACAAUAUCAACAAAGGUGUGAUAUGUCAAUUCUCAAUGAAACAAUAUAAAUGCAUGCAUCUUUGUGAACAUAAGGUGUCUGCUCCUUUUAGGAUAGAAAGAAGUAAGUUUUACUGACUCAACAUAAAAGUAAAAGAUUGGCCCUUCGCAGAGGGAAGUAGGGAAAACUCAUGUGCUAGAGCUUUUAGGGAUUUAAAAAAAAUAAUCAUCAAGAUUGUAAAACAAGCUUUUGAGAGGUGCAUAAUUUGUCAACGAAUGCUAGUAGACAGCCCAAUACUUCUCAUGCUAGAAAAGUUUUGAGGAACGGUCCCAAAGUGGGGACGAUCUCAUCCCCUUAGUCUCCUUUGUUUAUCACUACCAAAGUUUUGUUAUUUCUCAUCAACAAAGCAUGAAGGAGGUUUUGUUUGUUGUUAUUAUCUUUUACUAGCUGGGCGCACUCAUGCCAGUCCCUUCUGGUGUUAGGGGUUCGCAGAUCAGACAUGCAAACCCAGGAUAAAACUUGUCCAGUAUGAGAAGAUCAUGAAUUAUCUACUACUUCCUCAUGAGCUAAAACAGAGGCACAAAACAGGGAGUAAUAUUUGAAGGUUUGAAGAUAGCACAUGAAUAAUAUACUUUAGGAGUGGCGGUGAAAUACCACAUAUAGGGAAGGUAUGGUGGACUCUUGGGAGGGUUGAGGUUUCAGGGCAUGGAUGCACAAGUAGUAUUCCCGCUUAGUGCAAGGGUUGGCUAGCAAAGGCUUUUGAGACCAGACAAAUAAUUUUGACUUGGAUGCAAAACAAUAUAAAGUUUAACAUAAAGAAUUGGCAUAAAACAUCAAGUUGUCUUCCUUGUCACCAUAACAUUUCAAGCAUAAGAACAUAAAGGUUUUGGCUAUGUCGCUACUAGAAAAACUCAUGCUUGUUGUUAUGACCAAUGCUAUGCUUGCCAAGAUUAAAUAAAGUUUUCAAAGCCAUACCUGAUAUGUAAUAUCAAUACUCCCAUAAGAAUCAACAUAUAAGAUCGAUUGCAUGAAGAGAAUACCAAGUGCAGCAAAUAAACCAAUAGACUUCUCAUUAAUAUUCCAUCAUAGACACUGCACGCUCACCGAUACAAGACUCUCCACAAAGGUGUUGGAAAUAUGCCCUAGAGGCAAUAAUAAAAUGGUUAUUAUCAUAUUUCCUUGUUCAUGAUAAUCGUCUAUUGUUCAUGCUAUAAUUUUAUUAACAGGAAACAAUAAUACAUAUGUGAAUAAAUAGAUCACAAUGUGUCCCUAGCAAGCCUUUAGUUGGCUAGCUCGUUGAUCAAUAGAUGAUCAUGGUUUCUUGAUCAUGGAAAUUAGAUGUCAUUGAUAACGGGAUCACAUCAUUGGGAUAAUGAUGUGAUGGACAAGACCCAAUCCUAAGCAUAUCACUAGAUCGUGUUGUUCGUAUGCUAAAGCUUUUCUAAUGUCAAGUGUGUAUUCCUUCGACCAUGAGAUUGUGCAACUCCCGGAUAUCGUAGGAGUGCUUUGGGUGUAUCAAACGUCACAACGUAACUGGGUGACUAUAAAGGUGCACUACGGGUAUCUCCAAAAGUGUCUGUUGGGUUGGUACUAAUCGAGAUUGGGAUUUGUCACUCCGUGUGAUGGAGAGGUAUCUCUAGGCCGACUCGGUAGAACAUCAUCAUGAGCUCAAUGUGACUAAGGAGUUAGUCACAUGAUGACGUGCUAUGGAACAAGUAAAGAGACAUAUCAGUAACGAGAUUGAACAAGGUAUAGGUAUACCGACGAUCGAAUCUCGGGCAAGUUCUAUACCGACAGACAAAGGGAAUUGUAUACGGGAUUGAUUGAAUCCUUGACAUCAUGGUUCAUCCGAUGAGAUCAUCGUGGAACAUGUGGGAUCCACCAUGGGUAUCCAGACCCUGCUGAUGGUUAUUGGCCGGAGAGAUGUCUCGGUCAUGUCUGCAUGCCUCCCGAACCCGUAGGGUCUACACACUUAAGGUUCGAUGACACUAGGGUUAUAGGGAAUUGUUAUACGAGGUUACCGAAGGUUGUUCGGAGUCCCAGAUGAGAUCCCGGACGUCACGAGGAGCUCCAGAAUGGUCCAGAGGUAAAGAUUGAUAUAUAGGAUGGAUGGGUUUGGACGUCGGAAAUGUUUCGGGCACCACCGGCAAAGUACUGGGACCACCGGAAGGGUUUCGGAGGCCCACCGGGAGAGGCCACCAGCCCCAGAAGGCUACAUGGGCCAAGUGUGAGAGGGAACCAGCCCCUGGAUGGGCUAGUGCACCCCCACACCUGGCCCAUGUAGCCUUCUGGGGCUGGUGGCCUCUCCCGGUGGGGGAAGGGGGGAACCCUAGCGCAGGUGGGCCUAAGGCCGACCAGGGGGUGCGCCACCCCCUCCCCCCUCCUGGCCGCCACCCCUCCCCCAUAUAGGGCUGCUGCCCCCCCUCAAGAGGGAAACCCUAAAUGGGGCACCACACUCCCUUCCCCAUAUACAUAGCUGGGGUUUUGGCCAUUGGAGAUACGGUUUUUCCAUCUCUCUCUCGGCGCAGCCCUGCUCUUCUUCUUCCUCCUCUCCCACGAUGCUUGGAGAAGCCCUGCCGGGAGACCUCGUCUCUUCAUCGACACCACGCCGUCGUGCUGCCGAAGAUCUUCCCCAACCUCUCCCUCCUCCUUGCUGGUUCAAGGUGCGGGAGACGUCACCGGGCUGCACGUGUGUUGAACGCGGAGGUGCCGUGGUUCGGCAAUAGAUCGGAAUCACACCGCGAUGUGAAUCACCGCGAGUACGACUCCAUCAACCGCGUUCUAGCAACACUUGUGCUUAGAGAUCUUCAAAGGUAUGAAGAUGAACUCUCCCGUAUUUCGUUGCUAGUCUCUCCAUAGGAAGAUCUGAAUAUGGCGUAGGAAAAUUUUGAAUUUAUGCUACGUAACCCAAUAGUGGCAUACAAGCCAAAUUUUCUAUGCGUAGAUUCUAUGCACGAGUAGAACAUAAAAAGUUGUGGGCGAUGGUUUUGUCAAUUGCUUGCUGCUACUAGUCUUAUUCUUUUCUGGCGGUAUUGUGGGAUGAAGCGGCUCGGACCAACCUUACACGUAUGCUUACGUGAGACAGGUUCCACCGACCAACAUGCACUAGGUGCAUAAGGUGGCUAGCGGGUGUUUGUCUCUCCCACUCUAGUCGGAUUGGAUUUGAUGAAAAGGGUCCGUAUGAAGGGUAAAUAGCUUUGGCAAAUCAUCGUUGUGGCUGUCACGUAGGUAAGAAGGCAUUCUUGCUAGAAACCCAAAUCAGCCACGUAAAACUUGUAACAACAAUUAGAGGACGUCUAACUUGUUUUUGCAGGGUUUGAUAUGUGAUGUGAUAUGGCCAAAAGUUGUGAUGUUACAUGUAUGAUGUAUGAGAUGAUCAUGUUCUUGUAAUAGGAUUCACGACUUGCAUGUCGAUGAGUAUGACAACCGGCAAGAGCCAUAGGAGUUGUCUUAAUUUAUUGUAUGAGAUGCAACGCCAUGUGCUUACUACUUUUAUUUCAUUGCUAACGAUUAGCUAUAGUAGUGGUAGUAGUAGUAUUAGUAGUAGUAGUUGGUGUGACGACUUCACGGAGACACGAUGAUGGAGAUCAUGAUGAUGGAGAUCAUGGUGUCACGCCAGUGAGAAUGAUAUUCAUGCGAUGCCCGAAGAUGGAGAUCGAAGGAGCAAAAAUGUAAUGGCCAUAUCAUGUCACUAUAUGAUUGCAUGUGAUGUUUAUCAUGUUUUUCAUCUUAUUGCUUAGAACGACGGUAGCAUAAUAAGAUGAUCCCUCAUAAAAUUUCGAGAACGUAUUCCCCUAAGUGUCCACCGUUGCGAAGGAUCGUUGUCUCGAAGCACCACGUGAUAAUCGGGUGUGAUAGAUUCUAACGUUCGCAUACAACGGGUGUAAGCCAGUUUACACACGCAGAACACUUAGGUUGACUCGACGAGCCUAGCAUGUACAUACAUGGCCUCGAAUACAGGAGACCGAAAGGUCGAACAUGAGUCGUAUGGUUGAUACGAUCAGCAUGGAGAUGCUCACCAUUGAUGAAUAGUCCGUCUCACGUGAUGAUCGGGCAUGGGCUAGUCGACGUGGAUCGUGUAACACUUGGAUGACUAGAGGGAUGUCGAUCUAAGUGGGAGUUCAUGAGAUGAACUUAAUUAUCAUGAACAUAGUCAAAUAGGUCUUUGCAAAUUAUGUUGUAACUUACGCUAUAGCUCUACGGUAUUUGAUACGUUCCUAGAGAAAAUAUGGUUGAAAGAUAGAAGUAGCAAUUGUGCGGACUCGGUCCGUUAACUGAGGAUUGUCCUCAUUGCUAAAUAGAAAGCUUAUGUCCUUAAUGCACCGCUCAGUGUGCUGAACCCCAAGCGUGAUCUGUGGAUGUUGCGAACAUCCGACAUACACCUUUUUGAUAACUACAUGAUAGUUCAGUGCAUAUUGCUUGAAUGACUUAGAAUUAAGGCAUUAAAGACGUUUCGAACAUCGCGGGACAUACGUGAUGAUCCAAGAGAUGAAAUUGGGAUUUCAUGCUCGUGCCCUUGUUGAGAGGUAUGAGACCUCAGACAAGAUUCUUUGUCUGCAAAAGUAAAGGAGAAGAUCUCAAUCAUUGAGCAUGUGCUCAGAUUGUCUGAGUACUACAAUCGCUUGAAUCGAGUGGGAGUUGAUCUUCCAGAUGAGAUAGUUAUAGUUCUCCAAAGUCACUGACAGCAAGCUACUAGAGCUUCGUGAUGAACUAUAUCAUAUUAAGGAUGGAUAUGAUGAUCCUUGAGCCAUUCGCGAUGUUUGACACCGCAGAAGUAGAAAUUGAAUGGGAGCAUCAAUUGUUGAUGGUUUGUGAAAACACUAGUUUCAAGAAGGGAAAUGGUAUGAAGGGAUACUUCAUUAAACGCAAACCAGUUGCUGCUAUAGUGAAGAGACCCAAGGUUGAACCAAAACCCGAGACUAAGUGCUUCUAUAAUAAGGGGAACAAUCACUGAAGAGGAACUACCCUAGACACUUGGUAGAUGAGAAUGUUGACAAAGUCAACAAAAGUAUAUUGGAUAUACAUGAUAUUGAUGUGUACUUUACUAGUACUCCUAGUAGCACCAGGGUAUUAGAUACCGGUUCGGUUGCUAAGUGUUAGUAACUCGAAAUAAAAGCUACGGAAUAAACAGAGACUAGCUAAAGGCAAGGUGACGAUGUGUGUUGGAAGUGUUUCCAAGGUUGAUAUGAUCACACAUCGCACGCUCCCUCUACCAUCGAGGUUAGUAUUAAACCUAAAUAAUUGUUAUUUGGUGUUUGCGUUGAGCAUAAAUAUGAUUGGAUUAUGUUAAUGGCAAAUACGAUUAUUCAUCUAAAGAGAAUAAUGGUUAUUCUGUUUACUUGAAUGAUACCUUAAAUGGUCUUGCACCUAGAAUGAAUGGUUUAUUGAAUCUCGAUCGUAGUGAUACACAUGUUCAUAUUAUUGUUGCCAAAAGAUACAAAGUAGUAAUGAUAGUACCACUUACUUGUGGCACUGCUGCUUGAGUCAUAUUGGUAUAAAAUGCAUGGAGAAGCUCCAUGCUGAUGGAUCUUUGUACUCACUCAUUUUUGAAACGUUUGAGACAUGCAAACCAUGCCUGUUGGUAUAAACGCAUGAAGAAACUCCAUACGGAUGGAUCGUUUGACUCACUUGAUUUUUGAAUCACUUGAGACAUGCAAAUCAUACCACAUGGGCAAGAUGACUGAAGACCUCUUUUUCAAUGAGAUGGAACAAGAAUGUAACUUGUUGGAAGUAAUACAUUUUGAUGUGUGCAGUCCGAUGAGUACUGAGGCACGCAGUGGAUAUCAUUAUGUUCAUACUUCACAAAUUAUUUGAGUAGAUACUAGUGUAUUUACUUGAUGAAACACAGGUCUGAAUUAUUGAAAAAGGUUCAAGUAAUUUCAGAGUGAAGUUGAAGAUCAUCGUGACAAGAGGAUAAUAUGUCUACGAUGUGAUCUUGGAGUGAUACGUCCAUUUCGCAUCAUGCUUUUAUGUUGAUAUUUAUCGCUUUAUGGGUUGUUAUUACACUUUACGGUACAAUACUUAUGCCUUAUCUCUCUUAUUUUAUAAGGUUUACAUGAAGAGGGAGAAUGCCGACAGCUGGAAUUCUGGUCUGAAAAAGGAGCAAAUUUGAGAUACCUAUUCUACGCAACUCCAAAAGCCGUGAAAACCAACGAGGAAUUAUUUUGGAUUUUAUAAAAAAAUCUGGGCAGAAGAAGUACUGGAGGGGAGCCACCAGGAGGCCACAAGCCUGCCAGGCGCGGCCUACCCCCUGGCCGCGCCUGGGUGGCUUGUGGGCCCCCUGUUGCCCCUAUGGCUCCCAUCUUUUGCUAUAAGUAGGGUUUUGUUCCAGAAAAAAUCAGGAGGAGGCUUUCGGGAAGAGACGCCGCCGCCACGAGGCGGAACUUGAGGAGAACCAAUUUAGAGCUCCGGCAGGGCCGUCCUGCCGGGGAAAACUUCCCUCCCAGAGGGGGAAAUCGUCGCCAUCGUCAUCACCAACACUCGUCUCAGCAGAGGGGACUCAUCUCCAUCAACAUCUUCAUCAACACCAUCUCAUCUCCAAACCGUAGUUCAUCUCUUGUAACCAGUCUCCGUCUCGCGACUCCGAUUGGUACUUGUAAGGUUGCUAGUAGUGUUAAUUAUUCUUUGUAGUUGAUGCUAGUUGGAUUACUCGGUGGAAGAUCAUAUGUUCAGAUCCCUAAUGCUAUUCAAUACCUCUCUGGUCAUGAAAAUAAUUAUGCUUUGUGAGUAGUCACUUUUGUUCCUCGGGACAUGGGAUAAGUCUUGCUAUAAGUAGUCAUGUGAAUUUGGUAUUCGUUCGAUAUUUUGAUGCUAUGUAUGUUGUCUUUCCUCUAGUGGUGUUAUGUGAACGUCGACUACAUGACACUUCACCAUUAUUUGGGCCUAGAGGAAGGCAUUGGGGAGUAAUAAGUAGAUGAUGGGUUGCUAGAGUGACAGAAGCUUAAACCCUAGUUUAUGCGUUGCUUCGUAAGGGGCUGAUUUGGAUCCACUAGUUUAAUGCUAUGGUUAGACUUUGUAUUAAUUCUUCUUUCGUAGUUGCGGAUGCUUGCGAGAGGGGUUAAUCAUAAGUGGGAUGUCUGUCCAAGUAAGGGCAGCACCCAAGCACCGGUCCACCCACAUAUCAAAAUAUCAAAGUAGCGAACGCGAAUCAUAUGAACAUGAUGAAAACUAGCUUGACAAAAAUUCCUAUGUGUCCUCGGGAGCGCUUCACCUCAUAUAAGAGUUUGUCCAGGAUUGUCCCUUGCUACAAAAGGGAUUGGGCCAUAUUGCUGCACCUUUGUUACUACUGUUACUUGCUACUUGCUACAAAUUAUCUUAUCACACAACUAUCUGUUACCGAUAAUUUCAGUGCCUGCAGAGAAUAACUUGCUGAAAACCACUUGUCAGUUCCUUGUGCUCCUCAUUGGGUUCGACACUCUUACUUAUCGAAAGGACUACGAUAGAUCCCCUACACUUGUGGGUCAUCAAGACUCUUUUCUGGCGCCGUUGCCAGGGAGUGAAGCGCCUUUGGUAAGUGGAAUUUGGUAAGGAAACAUUUAUAUAGUGUGCUGAAAUUUAUUGUCACUUGUCACUAUGGAAACUAAUCCUUUUGAGGAGCUUGUUUGGGGUAUCUUCACGUCGAACGGAAGCACAAGGAGUUGCUCCUCAAGCUGCUGCACCUACUGAAAAUAUUUGUUAUGAAAUUCCUUCGGGUAUGCUAGAGAAACUGUUGGCUAAUCCUUUUACAAGAGAUGGAACAUCACACCCCGACUUGCAUCUAAUCUACGUAGAUGAAGUUUGUGGUUUAUUUAAGCUUGCAGGUUUGCCCGAGGAUGAGGUCAAGAAGAAGGUCUUUCCCUUAUCUUUGAGGGAUAAAGCAUUGACAUGGUAUAGUCUAUGUGAUGAUACUGGAUCAUGGAACUACAACCGAUUAAAAUUGGAAUUUCAUCAAAAGUUUUAUCCUAUGCAUUUGGUACAUCGUGAUCGGAAUUAUAUCUAUAAUUUUUGGCCUCGUGAUAGAGAAAGUAUCGCUCAAGCUUGGGGAGGCUUAAGUCAAUGUUAUAUUCAAGCCCAACCAUGAGCUCUCGAGAGAAAUUAUUAUUCAGAACUUUUAUGCUCGGCUUUCUCAUGAUAAUCGCACCAUGCUUGACACUUCUUGUACCGAUUCUUUUAUGAAGAGAGAUAUUGACUUCAAAUGGAAUUUAUUGGAAAUAAUUAAACGCAACUCUGAAGAUUGGGAGUUUGAUGAAGGUAAGGAGUCAGGUAUGAAUCUCAAGUUCGGUUGCGUUAAAUCCUUCAUUGAAACAAAUACCUUUUGUGAUUAUAGCGCUAAACAUGGACUUGACUCUGAGAUAGUAGCUUCAUCAUGUGAAUCAUUUGCUGCUCAUAUUAAUCUCCCUAAAGAGAAGUGGUUUAAAUAUCAUCCUCCCAUAGAAGUCAAUGUAGUUAAACCCAAUCCAGUUGAAGAGAAAGUCAUUGCUUAUAAUGAUCCUAUUGUCCCUAGUGCUUACAUUGAGAAACCACCUUUCCCUGUUAGAAUAAAGGAUCAUGCUAAAGCUCCAACUGUGAUACGUAAGGGCUACAUUAGAACACCUACACCCCCUGAGCAAAUUAAAGUUGAACCUAGCAUUGCUAUUAUCAAAGAUCUCCUGUCCGACAAUGUUGAUGGGCAUGAUAUUCACUUAUGUGAAGAUGUUGCUAGAAUUGCUAAACCUCAUGCUAGAGACAAACAUAGGCCUGUUGUUGGCAUGUUUGUUGUUUCUGUUAAGAUAGGAGAUCAUUGUUAUCAUGGUUUAUGUGACGUGGGUGCUAGUGUUAGUGCAAUACCUCGAUCUUUAUAUGAUGAAAUUAAAGACGAGAUUGCACCUGUCGAGAUGGAACCUAUUGAUGUUACUAUUCAGCUUGCCAAUAGAGAUACUAUCUGCUCUUUGGGAGUUGUUAGAGAUGUUGAAGUCUUGUGUGGUAAAACUAAAUAUCCUACAGAUUUUCUUGUUCUUGCUACCACACAAGAUAGCUUUUGUCCCGUCAUAUUUGGCCAACCUUUCCUCAAUACUGUCAAUGCUCAUAUUGACUGUGAGAAGCAAACUGUCACUGUUGGCUUUGAAGGUGUGUCACAUGAAUUCAAUUUCUCCAAGUUUGGUAGACAACCUCAUGAAUUGUCUAGUAAGGAUGAAAUUAUUUCCCUAGCUUCUAUUGUUGUGCCUCCUACUGAUCCUUUAGAGCAAUACUUGCUUGAGCAUGAAAAUGAUAUGCAUAUGGAUGAAAGGAAUGAGAUAGAUAGAGUUAUCUUUGAACAACAUCCUAUCCUUAAGAAUAAUUUGCCUGUUGAACUACUUGGAGAUCCACCCCCACCAAAGGGUGAUCCUGUGUUUGAGCUUAAACAAUUACAUGAUACUCUUAAGUAUGCUUAUCUUGAUGAAAAAGAGAUAUAUCCUGUUAUUAUUAGUGCUAGCCUUUCAGAGCAUGAAGAAAAUAAAUUAUUGAAAACUCUGAGGAAGCACCAUGCUACUAUUGGAUAUACUCUUGAUGAUCUUAAGGGCAUUAGUCCCACUCUAUGCCAGCAUAAAAUUAAAACUGAUCCUGAUUCCAAACCAGUUGCCGAUCAUCAAGGAAGAUUAAAUCCUAAGAUGAAAGAGGUAGUAAGAAAGGAAAUACUAAAGCUCCUGGAAGCAGGUAUUAUCUAUCCUGUUGCUCAUAGUGAUUGGGUAAGUCCGGUGCAUUGCGUCCCUAAGAAGGGAGGUAUUACCGUUGUCCCUAAUGAUAAAGAUGAAUUGAUCCCACAGAGGAUUGUUACUGGCUAUAGGAUGGUAAUUGAUUUUAGGAAAUUGAAUAAAGCCACUAGGGAAGAUCAUUACCCUUUGCCUUUUAUUGACCAAAUGCUAGAAAGAUUGUCUAAACACACACACUUCUGUUUUCUAGAUGGUUAUUCUGGUUUCUCCCAAAUACCAGUGGCACAAUCUGAUCAGGAGAAAACCACUUUUACCUGCCCUUUCGGUACCUUUGCUUAUAGACGUAUGCCUUUUGGCUUAUGUAAUGCACCUGCUACCUUUCAAAGAUGUAUGAUGGUUAUAUUCUCUGACUUUUAUGAAAAGAUUGAUGAGGUUUUCAUGGAUGACUUAUCCGUUUACGGGUCUCUUGUGAUGAUUGCCUCAACAACCUUGAUCGAGUUCUGCAGAGAUGUAAAGAUACCAACCUUGUCUUGAAUUGGGAGAAGUGCCACUUUAUGGUUAAUGAAGGCAUCGUCUUGGAACAUAAAAUUUCCGAAAAAUGUAUUGAAGUCGAUAAGGCUAAAGUUGAUGCGGUCGAGAAAAUGCCAUGCCCUACAGACAUUAAAGGUAUAAGAAGUUUCCUUGGUCAUGAUGGUUUCUAUAGAAGGUUCAUUAAGGACUUCUCUAAGAUUUGUAGGCCUCUUACCAAUCUCUUGCAAAAGGAUAUUCCUUUUGUUUUUGAUGAUGAUUGUGAGGAAGCAUUUGAAAUACUUAAGAAGGCCUUGAUAACUGCACCUAUUGUUCAACCACCUGAUUGGAGCUUACCUUUUGAAAUUAUGUGUGAUGUUAGUGAUUAUGUUGUUGGUGCCAUUCUAGGACAAAGAGUUGAUAAGAAAUUGAAUGUUAUUCAUUAUGCUAGUAAAACUCUAGACAGUGCCCAAAGAAACUAUGCUACUACUGAAAAGGAAUUUUUAGCAGUCGUGUUUGCAUGUGAAAAGUUCAGAUCUUACAUUGUUGAUUCCAAAGUUACUAUUCACACUGAUCAUGCUGCUAUUAAGUAUCUUAUGGAAAAGAAAGAUGCUAAACCUAGACUUAUCAGAUGGGUUCUCUUGCUACAAGAAUUUGAUUUGCAUGUUGUUGAUAGGAAGGGUGCUGAGAACCCCGUAGCAGAUAACUUGUCUAGGUUGGAGAAUGUUCUUGAUGACCCACAACCUAUUGAUGAUAGCUUUCCGGAUGAACAAUUGAAUGUCAUCAAUGCUUCAUGUAGUACACCUUGGUAUGCUGAUUAUGCAAAUUAUAUUGUUGCCAAAUUUAUACCACCUAGUUUCACAUACCAACAAAAGAAGAAAUUCUUCUUUGAUUUGAGAUAUUACUUUUGGGAUGAUCCUCAACUUUAUAAAGAAGGAGUAGAUGGUGUUAUUAGACGUUGUGUACCUGAGCAUGAAUAGGGACAGAUCCUACAGAAGUGUCACUCCGAGGCUUACGGAGGACACCAUGCGGGAGAUAGAACUGCACACAAGGUAUUGCAAUCCAGAUUUUAUUGGCCUACUCUCUUCAAGAAUGCCCGUAAGUUUGUCUUGUCUUGUGAUGAAUGUCAAAGAAUAGGUAAUAUCAGUAAACGUCAGGAAAUGCCUAUGAAGUAUUCACUUGUCAUUGAACCAUUUGAUGUUUGGGGUUUUGAUUAUAUGGGACCUUUUCCAAAGUCUAACGGGUAUACUCAUAUUCUAGUUGAUGUUGAUUACGUUACUAAGUGGGUACAAGCUAUCCCAACUAGUAGUGCUGAUCACAAAACCUCUAUUAGGAUGCUUAAAGAAGUUAUUUUCCCUAGAUUUGGAGUCCCUAGAUAUUUAAUGACUGAUGGUGGUUCACAUUUUAUUCAUGGUGCUUUUCGUAAAACGCUUGCUAAGUAUGAUGUCAACCACAGAAUUGCAUCUCCUUACCAUCCUCAGUCCAGUGGUCAAGUAGAGCUAAGUAAUAGAGAAAUUAAACUAAUUCUGCAAAAGACUGUUAAUAGGUCUAGAAAUAAUUGGUCUAAGAAGCUUGAUGAUGCAUUGUGGGCUUAUAGAACUGCUUAUAAGAAUCCCAUGGGCAUGUCUCCGUACAAAAUGGUUUACGGUGAAGCAUGUCAUUUACCUCUUGAGCUAGAGCAUAAGGCUUAUUGGGCAAUCAAAGAGCUCAACUUUGAUUUCAAACUUGCUGGUGAGAAGAGGUUAUUUGAUAUUAGCUCACUUGAUGAAUGGAGAACUCACGCAUAUGAAAAUGCCAAGUUGUUUAAAGAAAAGGUUAAGAGGUGGCAUGAUAAAAGGAUACAAAAACGUGAGUUCAAUGUAGGUGAUUAUGUCUUGCUAUACAAUUCUUGUUUACGAUUUUUUGCAGGCAAGCUUCUCUCUAAAUGGGAAGGUCCUUACAUUGUUGAGGAAGUAUAUCAUUCUGGUGCCAUAAAGAUCAAGAACACGGAAGGUAAUUUUCUGAGAGUUGUAAAUGGGCAAAGAAUCAAGCAUUAUAUCUCAGGUACUCCCAUAAAUGUUGAAAGCAAUAUUAUUAAUACCAUAACUCCGGAGGAGUACAUAAGGGAUAUUUAUCAGCCUGUUUCAGACUCCAAAAACGAAGAGGUAUGUGAUUUGGUAAGUAAACCGACUCAAGAACUUUUCCAGUAGCAAUUUUUCUCCGUUUUGGAAUUUUUAGAAAAAUAGAAAAAUUUAAAGUAGUCCGGAAAGCGCACAAGGAGGCGACAGGCCUGCUAGGCCUACCCCCCUGGCCGCGCCUGGGUGGCUUGUGGGCACCUCGUGUGCCUCCCAGACUCCGUUUUCUGGUGGAAUACUCCUUUUGGUCGGGAAAAAUUCAUUAUAUAUUCUCCCGAAAGUUCUGACCCUCAUAUCACGCAAAUAUCCUCUGUUUUCAUUUCGAGCUACUGAGCACACAGAUCUAGAUCGCUAUGGCGUCCCCAAAAGUUCCGAAGGACAAGUUCUUCGAGAAGGUCAUCAAUCCCUACCUCGCGGGAGUCCUGCAACACCCUCAAUCUAUCGAGAUGCAUGAGGGGGUGCUGCACAUCCGUGAUGUUGAGGGGCCCAAGAAGACCGGAAGCAUGGAGGCG
rnacentral:lncRNA from 1 species